CUUGUGUGUGUCAGGCUCAGGACCCGAGUGAGGAGAGAGUGUCCGGACUCUGGAGGAAAGGGGAGGGUCGGCCACUGCACUGCCUGCACGGCUCUGUACUGCGCUGCCUGCUGAUCUCACUAAACAGGUUAUACAGUAGCUUACUACAGGGACGUGUGGUGAGCUAAAUGGCUCAGGAGGCACUGGCAGGCCCCAGAGACAGAUUUACAUGCAAUAUACGAGCCAAAGGGUACAUCUGGGCAUUAUACACAGGUGCAGCCGUAUAAACUCCUGGAAAUUUGGAGUUCAGUAUGGAAAGUAUCUGACAUUGAAAAUCCAGAACAUUAGACACUAUUUUCUGCUGGAACAAAGGAAGUUUACUGUACCAUGAAGGGUCAAGGAUUAUUAGAUCGAGGUAAACUCCUGUGGAGAUUCCAAGCAUGUUCAUAAAGAUGUCUUUCCUCAGCUCGCAUUUAGACUGCUUUCCUGAAAACUGUGGUGAUCUCAGUGAAGAGCAAGGAGAGCGGUUCAUCACGACAUUCGAGUGAUGGACGAGAGGUACCAGGUCCGCUGGGAUAGACUAUUUCUGGUACCUCAAGAGAAGUGUUCUAGGUGCAAAACACACGCACAAGUCUUUUUUUUCCCAGAAUAACUGCAUUUGUGUACCAUUUCAUAUAUACUGUACAAC